rnacentral:rRNA from 1 species
GACGAGCGCUGGCGGCGUGCUUAACACAUGCAAGUCGAACGGAAAGGCCCUGCUUUUGUGGGGUGCUCGAGUGGCGAACGGGUGAGUAACACGCGAGUAACCUGCCCUUGACUUUGGGAUAACUUCAGGAAACUGGGGCUAAUACCGGAUAGGAGCUCCUGCUGCAUGGUGGGGGUUGGAAAGUUUCGGCGGUUGGGGAUGGACUCGCGGCUUAUCAGCUUGUUGGUGGGGUAGUGGCUUACCAAGGCUUUGACGGGUAGCCGGCCUGAGAGGGUGACCGGCCACAUUGGGACUGAGAUACGGCCCAGACUCCUACGGGAGGCAGCAGUGGGGAAAAUUGCACAAUGGGCGGAAGCCUGAUGCAGCAACGCCGCGUGCGGGAUGACGGCCUUCGGGUUGUAAACCGCUUUCGCCUGUGACGAAGCGUGAGUGACGGUAAUGGGUAAAGAAGCACCGGCUAACUACGUG